AUUGAGGUCUGUCCUGACUUGCUCUUCUCAGUAGAGCUUAGUCGUUGGAAACGCCUCAAAGAUAAAGUCUGUGGUAUCGCUUUACCCCAUGUCGCUAAAUUUAUUAGCUUUGUGGGAAAACACUGCAGUACAUUC